UCCUUAAACACAGAGUUUUCUGAGAAGAACUGAAGGAAGUGAAGCUGUUCUACAAGUCCUGGCCCACAGACAAACGGAGUGAGCCUGCCUCGCUCGCCCUCCUCACAGUAUCUCCUUCGUGGACACCUGGCUGAUAUGGACGCUUGGAGGCAGGAAGCUUCCCCUGCUUAUUACCAUCUCUGUCUGGCAGGCAGGAGCCACACCCACAAGCCUAAGUAAACAAGAAGCCGAAGGAUGUAAUGGAUCUUCACUGAACAUGAAGAA